rnacentral:rRNA from 1 species
AGAGUUUGAUCCUGGCUCAGGACGAACGCUGGCGGUGUGCUUCACACAUGCAAGUCGAGCGAAUGAAGUAGGUAGCUUGCUACUUAUGGAUUUAGCGGCGGACGGGUGAGUAAUAUAUAGGAAUCUGCCUUAGAGCGGGGAACAACAGACCGAAAGGUUUGCUAAUGCCCCAUAGGUAUGCGGUCUUCGGAUUGUAUAUUAAAGGAGUAAUCCACUCUAAGAUGAGCCUGUAUCCGAUUAGCUAGUUGGCGGGGUAAAGGCCCACCAAGGCUACGAUCGGUAGUUGGUCUGAGAGGAUGAUCAGCCACAAUGGGACUGAGACACGGCCCAUACUCCUACGGGAGGCAGCAGUGGGGAAUUUUACACAAUGGGGGAAACCCUGAUGUAGCGACACCGCGUGAACGAAGAAGCCUUUUGGGGUGUAAAGUUCUGUCGGCUGGAACGAAAAAAAUGACGGUACCAGCAAAGGAAGCAUCGGCUAACUACGUGCCAGCAGCCGCGGUAAGACGUAGGAUGCAAGCGUUGUCCGGAUUUAUUGGGCGUAAAGAGUUCGUAGGCGGUUAUUUAAGUCUGAUGUUAAAUACUGUGGCCCAACCACAGAACUGCAUUGGAUACUGGAUGACUUGAGUGCGGUAGAGGCAAGUGGAAUUCCCAGUGUAGCGGUGAAAUGCGUAGA